rnacentral:rRNA from 1 species
GAUGAACGCUGGCGGCGUGCAUAACACAUUCAAGUCGAACGGAGAUGGGAACUUCGGUUCCCUGAUCAGUGGCGGACGGGUGAGUAACGCGUGAGCAACCUGCCCUUGUGUGGGGGAUACCGUCUGGAAACGGACGUUAAUACCGCAUAACGUAUUUGGAUCACAUGUUCUGAAUACCAAAGAUUUAUUGCGCAAGGAUGGGCUCGCGUCUGAUUAGGUAGUUGGUGGGGUAACGGCCUACCAAGCCGACGAUCAGUAGCCGGACUGAGAGGUUGAACGGCCACAUUGGAACUGAGAUACGGUCCAGACUCCUACGGGAGGCAGCAGUGGGGAAUAUUGGGCAAUGGGCGAAAGCCUGACCCAGCAACGCCGCGUGCGGGAAGAAGGUCUUCGGAUUGUAAACCGCUGUUAUAGAGGACGAAACAAAUGACGGUACUCUAUGAGAAAGCCACGGCUAACUACGUGCCAGCAGCCGCUGUAACAC